UCAUUUUGUCCGAGCGUAGAUACAAAAGUGAGCAAUCAAGACAGGACUUGUCUCGUAUGUUUAAGGGGUUAAUAAAACAAUCAUUUCAAAUUUGAUAUACGAUAAAUCAUUUUAAACGAUUGUAGUGGUGUUGCUAUGGAAAUGCAAACAUAAGAAGAAUAUCGAUACCGUAGUGUUGUGGAAUUCUCCAUUCUGAUUGGUCAGAAGCUGUUUUUCCAUAAGAACAGCUCUACAGGAUGAUAAAUGAUCAUUUCUUUAUAGUAACGACUUGCCCAGGUUUAUAUGGUGGAGGAGACUUUUUUUUUUAAAGCAUUUCUGGAAGGAGUCUCCAGUGUCAGUGCUUUGUACCAAUCGGAGGUAAAGUUAUAACUUGACGUUUUCCGUAACAGAAAAAGUCCUUUGCAGUUUCUUUUCAGCCUGACAAGCUGAGAGAGGAAAAAAAAAGACGCCGGUGAGGGAGCGACAGUGAGCUGUUUAUAGCUGCUAUAACGCAAGUGAUAACAGGAACUAACGUUUCAUGGACGUUGCACAACCUUAAAUGGUCACAGGGAAUCUGGAGCCUCUCCCAGGAAGCAUCAGGCACAAGGCGGGGUACACCCUGGACAGGGUGCCAAUCCAUUGCAGGGCACAAUCACACACCCAUUCAUACACUACGGACACUUUGGACAUGCUAAUCAGCCUACCAUGCAUGUCUUUGGACUGGGGGAGGAAACCGGAGUACCCGGAGGAAACCCCCGCAGCACGGGGAGAACAUGCAAACUCCGCACACACAGGGCCACGGUGGGAAUCGAACCCCCGACCCUGGAGGUGUGAGGCGAACGUGCUAACCACUAAGCCACCGUGCAACAUGGCAUCUGUCAAGGCAGUGAGUGAACAAUGAGUGCUCGAAGUUGAUGUGUUGGAAGCAGGAAAAAUGGGCGAGUGUAAGGAUCUUAGCGACUUUGACAAGGGGCAAAUUGUGAUGGCUGGACGUCUGGGUCAGAGUAUCGCCAAAACAGCAGGUCUUAUGGGGUGUUCUAGGUAUGCACUGGUUAGUACCUACUAAAAGUGGUCCGAGGAAGGACGAUCGGUGAACUUGAUGUGCGUUGGGAGCGAUGGCUAGCCCGUCUGGUCCGAUCCCACAGAAGAGCUACUGUAGCACAAAUUGCUGAAAAAGUUCAUGCUGGCUCUGAUAGAAAGGUGUCAGGACACACAGUGGAUCACAGCUUGCUGCGUAUGGAGUUGUGUAGCAGCACCCCGGUCAGAGUGCCCAUGCUGACCCCUGUACACCGCUGAACGCUCCUACAACGUGCACGUGAGCAUCAGAACUGGACCGUGGAGCGAUGGAAGAAGGUGGCCCGGUCUGAUAAAUCAUGUUUUCUUUUACAUGAUGUGGACGGUCGGGUGCGUGUGCGUCGCUAACCUGGGGAAGAGAUGGCACAAGGAUGCACUUUGGGAAGAAUGCAGUGUGACACUCUGGGUAAUGUUCUGCUGGGAAACCUCAGGUCCUGGCAUUCACGUGGAUGUUACAUUGACACGUACCACUUACCUAAACAUUGUUGCGGACCAAAUACACACCUUCAUGUCAACAGUAUUCCCUCAUAGCAGUGGCCUCUUUCAGCAGGAUAAUGCAUCCUGCCACGCUGCAGAAAUUGUUCAGGAACGAAUUGAGGAACAUGACAAAGAGUUCAAGGUGUUGACUCGGCCUCCGAAUUCCCCAGAUCUCAAUCCGAUCGAUCAUCUCUGGGAUGUUCUGGACAAACAAUUCCGAUCCAUAGAGGCCCCACCUCGCAAUUUACAGCACUUAAAGGAUCUGCUACUAAUGUCUUGGUGCCAGAUACCACAGCACACCUUCAGAGGUCUUGUGGAGUUCAUGCCUCGACGGGUCAGAGCUGUUUUGACGGCACAAGGAGGACCGACACAAUAUUAUGCAGGUGGUUUUAAUGUUAUGGCUGAUCGGUGUAAGUCUGUAACCUAGCGAUUCAGGGAAUUUGUGGCGUUAAAAGUAGAAACACUAGCUUUUUCACAGAAAGCUAAAUUACAUUUACUUCAACAAACCCCAAGUUAAAUAAAUCUCCGACACACAAAUGUGCCUCGUCAGCCUAUGUAUAUUGAUGUGCAAAUGAUCCAAAGUUGAAAAAAGCUGCAAUUUUAUCACAGACAGUUUAAUAUAAUACGUCCCAACCUGACUAAACUCACCAAAAAGUCAUGCUAGACAGUUGGGUGGCUGUGUUAAAUGAUACAACAUAUCUCUUACUACCAUGUUUUACUGUUUAUGACUAACAUGUUGGCACACGUGCUUACGACCAAACUGCCAACGUACACCAUUUUGUGUAGUGUUGUGGAGGAGUUUAUUUUGUAGCCUUUGAUCAGUUUAGGAAAGUUGAAUUGCAUUUACAAAGCUGCUUAAAAACCAGAAUUAUUUCUCCACCUGGAAGCCACGUCAGUUCUUUCUAACUGCACCAAAUGGAGUUUUUGCAUCGCCAGUCUUCCUGUUCUGCCCUGGUCACGCCCGAUUCACGAAGAGACGUGAGCCAAAACUUGAUGGUGCUUUAAUUUCUUUCGAGAGGAAACGACUUGAGUGCACGGCUUAGUCAAAGUGAGAAACCGUCGCUGCAGUGGUUUUGUCGUGUCACUUUAAAGAAAACGAGGGCUGAAACCUUCACUUGGAAAUCCGAGUCGGUGUCAGUGAAUGAGAGCGAGCGAUAUUACAGGGUUAAAUAAAAGUAAAGAUGCUUCGAUAUGCAAAUACAGGCCAUGAGACGUCAGUUUACCAAGAAAAGGGAAAGUGCUGUGUGACAUUGAACAGAAGGCUGUUUCCCGUCCGCUUAUUCGUAGAAUCUGAAUUUCUCAGCGGUUAAAAGCGUAGGCGUUAUGGAAACUACCACGCAGUAGAGUUUAUUCUUGAAAACUCAUACCACAGCGCUGUCGAAUUCUCAAAUCCGAUUGGUCAGAAGGUGUUCUGACUGUCGUGACCAAUCACAUGGUUAUAUUAAUGCACCUGUUCUGAUACAUUCUCGUUUCUAUAGUAACAGGCUCCAUAUAAUCUAUAAUAACUAUAAUAACAACCAAAUAAACAUCCAUCCAUCCAUCCAUCCAUCCAUCCAUUUUCUAUACCGCUUAUCCUACAGGGUCGCGAGGAACCUGGAGCCUAUCCCAGUGAGCAUGGGGCGCCAAUACCACGACGGGAUACCAAGUAAACAAUGUGUUUUUAUUUAACAAUAAAAACAACAAGCGUAUAAUCGUAGAUAUGGUGACAUUUUCUGUCCGUCGAUGUUUAUUUAUUUGGUGUUUUUGGAAGGAGGCUCCAGUGUCAGUGCUUUUGUAACAAUCGAUACGUUUUCCACCAUCUUUGUUUAUGUUUUGCGGAUUCUCUGUAAGAUGAUGCAUUGUUGCACUAUUUUUUUUUUUUUUUUGUCUUUUAACUUCAGGAGAAAGGAAAGGGGAAAAAAAAGACACCGAUGAGGGAACUGUUUAUGGCUGUUAUACCAGUUUGCCAAAUUGCCUUGAAAUAUGAUUUCUAAAAACACUCGCUGUCAUAAGGAAACAAUCAGCGGCGGUGUGACGUGACGUGACGUGACGUGACCCGACGCGUACAUCUUCAAGGUCUCCAGAACAACCGUUCGACUCACUGACCGCUGAACACAGAAUUGAAUCAAAGCAACACUAAACAUGCCUUUUGCUAAUGCUUGGCUUGGUAACCUUUGACCCUUAUUUGGCCUUUGGACUGCUUCUGACCUCCAGUGGUUGAGCAAAGCCACUACACAUCAUUGCUUUCAUGACAAACAAACAAACGAAAAAUCAGUUUCAGACUGACUUGUAACGCUUAAAGUGUCACUGGAAUAAAGCUUUGUUGUAUGAUA